UUCUCUCAAUAAUUUAUAUGCGGGUAUGUUGCGUUCAUCAUCGGCAUAUUUGCCUUGGAU
rnacentral:antisense_RNA from 1 species